GCUCCUGUCAUUAUUUCCUGCUAUUCCUGGUGUCUCUCCCCAGCCUGCACCCUGGGUGAAGAGUUGCCCUCCUCCCUCCAACACCAGCUCUGCUUACCCUUGCACCCAACCCUGUGCUGACCCACCCUUCCCUUCAUUCUUUAGCAAGGACAGCUGUCCAACUAAGGUGCUUCACAAGUCUUGGCCAGCUCAGAGCUCAGGGCCCUCUGCACAGCCAGGGCCCAGUCCCUCUCCUGUGGUGGUGAACAGAGCCAUCCCCUGACAGCAGAGAAGGGCUUGGACCAGGAACAUGGUCCUCCAGCACUGACUAUAUAAGACGAGGCCAGGAAAUCCACACAGGAUCCCCACACCUGUUCUUUCCCUAAGAUACAGCCCACAACUCAGCACCAUGGUUACCGACCAUCGUGGCUUGUCCCAGGACUUUCCUGAUUAGCACUGAAAGUCCAGGUCCCAAGAAACUCCUCAGACAUGGGAAAACUGGGAUAACUGGUCACCCUCCUCAGCACAGGAAGGAUGUCACACCCUCCCCAACCCCCACUGACAAAGGACUCUCUUUUUUCUGUAACCCUGGUCUCUGCUGAGGCUAAUGGAUAGGACUAUGGUCAGUCCCCUUGAUCUUUCUGGCCCCCUCAGACUGGUUAGGGCCCUCCACAGGCCCACAGUAUGAUCAGAGGCCUGGAGUCUGCUAAGAGGUAAGCCGAUGGUUCACAGUCUGUUGGAGGCCCAGCCCUGCCCUGGGCCCUAUGAGAUAAAUAUCAGAGAGAGCCCAAGAAAGGCCUAAUAGGAUGCUGGAUCUCAAGCCAGAGAGGCAGGCCACUUUGGGGUGACCCCAGGUGGGGCAACCCUAGGGCUGCAGCCAGCAGGGUCUGCCUGGGGCUCACUGAGGCUGCCUCUACCUGCCAGAGUUUGAGGUGAGUCACUUCCUCCCUCGGCGGGAAUGAGGCUGGGAGGGGAAGGAAAGGGAUGGUAUCUAAAAAUAGCAGGGCCCAGACUGGUAGAGAUACCAAAGAGCUUCUCCUUGGGCAAGGGAGGAGCCAGCUUCUUGUCAGAACUGACUCCAGCCAGACGCCUGCCUCUGGCAGAGGAGCACGCUGGCCCUGAGACCCCGCCCCGCCCCUUCCCAGGCUCAGCAUAGGGUGCCAAGGGGUGGAGGAGGCAUCCUGAAGCCUGAGACGCAAGCAGAAGCUGGGGGAGGACAGGAACUGGAAGAGAAACCUCCAGCUGACACGGCCUGGGGAGGGGCAGGAGGGUGUGUGAUGGGGAAGGCUUGGCCCUUGCUGGGGUGGGAAGAGGCAGCAGAGACUGGCUCACUAGCCAGGAUUCCCCUCCCACACCAUCUCCACAGAACCCCGUUUACUCCCCACACACGGGGGCACCCACAGGGACACACAAACACAGCCCUUACCACUCAGCCUGCUUGUGCAAGUCAUUUCUCUCCUAGCACAACUCUGCUCCCUGCAAAGUGGGAAACUCAGUGCCCUUGGUCUGCAGCAGAGCCAGAGGCCCCAUUGUGUGCUUGAAACAUACCCUGGAAGACAAGGAAACAAUGCUCAUGCAUGACUGUCUCUGGUCUUGGGGACACCUUAAGAGGCCCACUCAGGAAGGACAGGACAAUACCCAGUGCAGAACAAGAGGCAACGGGCCCAGUGUGGGGAAUGAUCUGGAGUCAGGCAGGCCUGGGCUGAAAUCCUGGUGCUGCCACUUUCUGGCCAUGUGGCCCAACACAGGUUAUUUGACCUCUCCCUGCCUCCGUUUCCUCAUCAAAGAAUGGAUGUCAUAGAAGUCCUUCAUCGUGUGUCAAAUACAAUAAUGUACAUAUAGUCCCCAAGCAAACAGAGCUCUUUCCAUCAAAACUCAUGGUAUGAGGCUCUCAACAUUAAAAAAAAAAAAAAAAGACCCUGAAGAUUUCAGCACACUUUUCUAUCCCAAAGACCCAAGAUAAUAAAUAAUCUUCUACUUGGCCCCACCUGUGCGAUAGGUAACAGGUGACGGGAGCAGUGGAGAAAGUAGCUACAUUUUACAAGAGUAAUGGCCACUAUUACCAACACUUCAUGUUUACCUAAUUUUCUCUUGUCUUCACAACUUUAAAAAGCAGUCAUUCCUAUCCUCCAAGUGUGGGAAGGUGGAGGCACAAAGAUAUUAAGCUCAACACCGCACAACUAGCAUUCGGCAGCGCCUGGACUCAGAGCCGAAUCCAAGGCAAACUCCUUGCGCAUUACGGGGUGUGGGCAGGGGUCUGCUGCUCGCUGAGGGUACACUGACCUGACUCUUUCAGGAAGGCCCCUGGACACCAGCUGGAACGACCAGACUAUGCCGAGCUUUUGACUGGGGACUGCCUUCUUCUGUCUCACCUCCUUCACCUCCUACCAGCCUUCAGGACCCCUCCUAGAAACACAGAAGGUGCCUCUCAUUAUGCUGGGUCAGGAAGCAGCAAAGAGUGCAAACCUUCACCUUCAUUCUAGGUCAAAACCCAAGAUGAUGGGAAGGUUGGAAGACCUAGUUAUAGAUCUGCUUCUACUUAGCUGAGUGACCUGUUUCAUCCUGUGUGCAAUGAAGAGACAGGGCAGACGACUUCCUGCUUUGAUGUUAUCACUGCUGCUGUGUGGAAAAAUUAAAAUAGCAAUAAUAACUCACAAUUUACUGGGCAAUUAUUAUGUUCCAGGACCAUGCUAAGGGCUUUACAAGGAUUAUCUCUUUAAAUAAUCACAAUAACUUUAUCAGGGAGGUAUCAUUAGUUCCAUUUUACAGAUGGGAAAUUGAGCCUCAAACAGAUUAAGUGCUCAGUUUUGACAGCCCUAGAACUUAGAUGCAGGUCUUACGCACUAUGCAUUUAUCACUGCUUUUUAAAUCUUUUGCCACACUGGCCUAGGAGAAAACAAAAAGCAUAAAACAUUGAAACAUGGUUUGUGUCUAUGCCAAAUCAGCCAGCUGCCCCAGAGCCUCACCACCAGCCAGGCUCUUCCAUAUCUGCAUAUUUGGGGGAGGGACUCUGAAAAGUCCAAGAAUUCUAAAUUCAAACCUGACUUUCCAAGUAAUUCUGAAGGUGUAUUUAUGGAGGUAAGAAAAUAAAACAUCUUGACAGUUUGUUUAUCUGAUUUUUAAAUUUGAAUAUUCACAUAUGUGGUAUAUGGGUUUCCAUAUGUGCUCUUGCCCAGUGUCCCAAAGGGUAGGGACAGCCCACUUACCAUGGCUCCCCAGUGGUAGCCAGAGCUUGAAAGUCCCUUAGAGUAAAAGACAAGCUACAACCUUGAGCAUGGACAAGGCCAGGAUCUACC